rnacentral:misc_RNA from 1 species
GUAGGUGAACCUGCGGAAGGAUCAUUAAAAAUGAAGCCGGGAAACCGGUCCUUCUAACCCUUGAUUAUAAUAAUUUGUUGCUUUGGUGGGCCGCGCAAGCACCGGCUUCGGCUGGAUCGUGCCCGCCAGAGGACCACAACUCUGUAUCAAAUGUCGUCUGAGUACUAUAAAAUAGUUAAAACUUUCAACAACGGAUCUCUUGGCUCUC